UGGGGAAUAUUGCGCAAUGGGCGAAAGCCUGACGCAGCGACGCCGCGUGAGGGAUGAAGGUUUUCGGAUCGUAAACCUCUGUCAGAAGGGAAGAAACCGCACUGUGCUAAUCAGCAGUGCCUUGACGGUACCUUCAAAGGAAGCACCGGCUAACUCCGUGCCAGCAGCCGCGGUAAUACGGAGGGUGCAAGCGUUAAUCGGAAUUACUGGGCGUAAAGCGCACGUAGGCUGCUUUGUAAGUCAGGGGUGAAAUCCCACGGCUCAACCGUGGAACUGCCUUUGAUACUGCUUAGCUUGAAUCCGGGAGAGGGUGGCGGAAUUCCAGGUGUAGGAGUGAAAUCCGUAGAUAUCAGGAGGAAUACCGGUGGCGAAGGCGGGUCUCUGGGCUGUUACUGACGCUGAGGAGCGAAAGCGUGGGGAGCGAACAGG
rnacentral:rRNA from 1 species